AGNUNUANGCUAAUUUAAAUAUAAGAUGUAUUCUGCCCAGCGGACAUGUCUCAACGGCCGCAGUACCUUGACUGUGCUAAGGUAGCGGGGAAAAUUGCCCUUUAAUUUGGGGCUAGAAUGAAUGGGAUAAUGGGGGGAAGCUGUCUUUUAUAUACUAUGAUGAAAUUAUUUGAGUAGGUGAAAAUCCCUACAAGCUAUGAUAAUAGACGAGAAGACCCUAAGAAUUUUGAUAAACUUUAACUUAUAUUAAUUUAAUUUUUGUUGGGGUGACAUAUUAACAAUUACUUAACUUAAUAAAGGCUAAUACAGACCGAAUAAAUAUUAUAUAUGGAAAAAUUACCUUAGGGAUAACAGCAUAAUUUUAUAUAAAGAUUGUGACCUCGAUGUUGGACUAGGAACUUUAUAAUUAGAAAUUAUAGAAGAAAGUUCUGUUCGAACUAUAUAAUCUCCU
rnacentral:rRNA from 1 species